UACGGAGGGUGCGAGCGUUAUCCGGAAUCACUGGGUUUAAAGGGUGCGUAGGCGGUUCGGAUAGUCUGUCGUGAAAUGCUUCGGCUUAACCGAUAGAACUGCGAUGGAUACUUCCGAACUUGAAUUGGGUUGAGGCAGGCGGAAUGUGACAUGUAGCGGUGAAAUGCAUAGAUAUGUCAUAGAACACCGAUUGCGAAGGCAGCUUGCCAAGCCUUGAUUGACGCUGAGGCACGAAAGCGUGGGGAGCAAACAGG
rnacentral:rRNA from 1 species